GACGAAGGAUGCAAGCGUUAUCCGGAUUCAUUGGGUUUAAAGGGUGCGCAGGCGGCUUUGUAAGUCAGUGGUGAAAUCUCCGGGCUUAACCCGGAAACUGCCAUUGAUACUGCAGAGCUUGAGUACAGAUGAUGUUGGCGGAAUAUGACAUGUAGCGGUGAAAUGCUUAGAUAUGUCAUAGAACACCGAUUGCGAAGGCAGCUGACAAAACUGUAACUGACGCUCAUGCACGAAAGUGUGGGGAUCAAACAGG
rnacentral:rRNA from 1 species